rnacentral:misc_RNA from 1 species
CGGAGAGCAGGUUAAGUACGCUGGUCCGUCACUUGAGUGAGCAGUCCCCUUCAUCUCCAGCUGCUCUCAUGGCGUCCCCGACUGCCGGCGUUGUUGGCUCCGUCUUCGCUCACGUCGUCCAGGCCCCCGAGGAUCCGAUCCUAGGGGUCACGGUUGCGUAUAACAAGGAUCCAAGCCCCAUCAAGGUGAAUCUAGGAGUUGGUGCGUAUCGGACAGAGGAAGGAAAGCCUUUGGUGUUGAACGUGGUGAAACAAGCUGAACAGAUUUUGCUUAAUGACAGUUCUUUCAAUAAGGAGUACCUUCCUAUCACGGGUAUAGCAGAUUUCAACAAAUUGAGUGCGAAACUGAUAUUUGGAGCCGACAGCCCUGCAGUUUUAGAAAACAGGGUCGCCACUGUUCAAUGUUUGUCAGGUACUGGUUCAUUGAGGGUUGGAGGUGAGUUUCUGGCAAGGCAUUACCAUGAGCGCACCAUUUAUGUACCACAACCAACAUGGGGAAACCAUAACAAAAUUUUUAUGUUCGCGGGGCUGUCUGUUAAGAGUUACCGUUAUUAUGAUCCACAAACGCGUGGGCUGCACUUUCAAGGUCUGCUAGAAGAUCUUGGUUCUGCUGCUCCAGGAUCCAUAGUUAUUCUUCAUGCAUGUGCUCAUAACCCAACUGGAGUUGAUCCAACUCUUGAUCAGUGGGAGCAGAUCAGGCAGUUGAUUAGAUCAAAAAGAUUGCUACCUUUCUUUGACAGUGCAUACCAGGGUUUUGCAAGUGGAAGCCUGGAUGCGG